rnacentral:rRNA from 1 species
GACGAACGCUGGCGGCGCGCCUAACACAUGCAAGUCGAACGAGCGAGAGAGAGCUUGCUUUCUCAAGCGAGUGGCGAACGGGUGAGUAACGCGUGAGGAACCUGCCUCAAAGAGGGGGACAACAGUUGGAAACGACUGCUAAUACCGCAUAAGCCCACGACCCGGCAUCAGGUAGAGGGAAAAGGAGCAAUCCGCUCUGAGAUGGCCUCGCGUCCGAUUAGCUAGUUGGUGAGGUAAUGGCCCACCAAGGCGACGAUCGGUAGCCGGACUGAGAGGUUGAACGGCCACAUUGGGACUGAGACACGGCCCAGACCUCCUACGGGAGGCAGCAGUGGGAAUAUGCACAAUGGGGGAAACCCUGAUGCAGCGACGCCGCGUGGAGGAAGAAGGUCUUCGGAUUGGUAAACUCCUGUUGUUGAGGAAGAUAAUGACGGUACUCAAC